rnacentral:rRNA from 1 species
GUUAUAUGGUCAAGUGAAGAAGCGCAUACGGUGGAUGCCUUGGCAGUCAGAGGCGAUGAAAGACGUGGUAGCCUGCGAAAAGCUUCGGGGAGUCGGCAAACAGACUUUGAUCCGGAGAUCUCUGAAUGGGGGAACCCACCUAGGAUAACCUAGGUAUCUUGUACUGAAUCCAUAGGUGCAAGAGGCGAACCAGGGGAACUGAAACAUCUAAGUACCCUGAGGAAAAGAAAUCAACCGAGAUUCCCUUAGUAGUGGCGAGCGAACGGGGAUUAGCCCUUAAGCUUCAUUGAUUUUAGCGGAACGCUCUGGAAAGUGCGGCCAUAGUGGGUGAUAGCCCCGUACGCGAAAGGAUCUUUGAAGUGAAAUCGAGUAGGACGGAGCACGAGAAACUUUGUCUGAACAUGGGGGGACCAUCCUCCAAGGCUAAAUACUACUGACUGACCGAUAGUGAACCAGUACCGUGAGGGAAAGGCGAAAAGAACCCCGGAGAGGGGAGUGAAAUAGAACCUGAAACCGUAUGCGUACAAGCAGUGGGAGCCUACUUGUUAGGUGACUGCGUACCUUUUGUAUAAUGGGUCAGCGACUUAUAUUCAGUGGCAAGCUUAACCGUAUAGGGUAGGCGUAGCGAAAGCGAGUCUUAAUAGGGCGUUUAGUCGCUGGGUAUAGACCCGAAACCGGGCGAUCUAUCCAUGAGCAGGUUGAAGGUUGGGUAACACUGACUGGAGGACCGAACCCACUCCCGUUGAAAAGGUAGGGGAUGACUUGUGGAUCGGAGUGAAAGGCUAAUCAAGCUCGGAGAUAGCUGGUUCUCCUCGAAAGCUAUUUAGGUAGCGCCUCAUGUAUCACUCUGGGGGGUAGAGCACUGUUUCGGCUAGGGGGUCAUCCCGACUUACCAAACCGAUGCAAACUCCGAAUACCCAGAAGUGCCGAGCAUGGGAGACACACGGCGGGUGCUAACGUCCGUCGUGAAAAGGGAAACAACCCAGACCGCCAGCUAAGGUCCCAAAGUUGUGGUUAAGUGGUAAACGAUGUGGGAAGGCUUAGACAGCUAGGAGGUUGGCUUAGAAGCAGCCAUCCUUUAAAGAAAGCGUAAUAGCUCACUAGUCGAGUCGGCCUGCGCGGAAGAUGUAACGGGGCUCAAACCACACACCGAAGCUGCGGGUGUCACGUAAGUGACGCGGUAGAGGAGCGUUCUGUAAGCCUGUGAAGGUGAGUUGAGAAGCUUGCUGGAGGUAUCAGAAGUGCGAAUGCUGACAUGAGUAACGACAAUGGGUGUGAAAAACACCCACGCCGAAAGACCAAGGGUUCCUGCGCAACGUUAAUCGACGCAGGGUUAGUCGGUUCCUAAGGCGAGGCUGAAAAGCGUAGUCGAUGGGAAACAGGUUAAUAUUCCUGUACUUCUGGUUACUGCGAUGGAGGGACGGAGAAGGCUAGGCCAGCUUGGCGUUGGUUGUCCAAGUUUAAGGUGGUAGGCUGAAAUCUUAGGUAAAUCCGGGGUUUCAAGGCCGAGAGCUGAUGACGAGUCGUCUUUUAGAUGACGAAGUGGUUGAUGCCAUGCUUCCAAGAAAAGCUUCUAAGCUUCAGGUAACCAGGAACCGUACCCCAAACCGACACAGGUGGUCGGGUAGAGAAUACCAAGGCGCUUGAGAGAACUCGGGUGAAGGAACUAGGCAAAAUGGCACCGUAACUUCGGGAGAAGGUGCGCCGGCUAGGGUGAAGGAUUUACUCCGUAAGCUCUGGCUGGUCGAAGAUACCAGGCCGCUGCGACUGUUUAUUAAAAACACAGCACUCUGCAAACACGAAAGUGGACGUAUAGGGUGUGACGCCUGCCCGGUGCCGGAAGGUUAAUUGAUGGGGUUAGCGCAAGCGAAGCUCUUGAUCGAAGCCCCGGUAAACGGCGGCCGUAACUAUAACGGUCCUAAGGUAGCGAAAUUCCUUGUCGGGUAAGUUCCGACCUGCACGAAUGGCGUAACGAUGGCGGCGCUGUCUCCACCCGAGACUCAGUGAAAUUGAAAUCGCUGUGAAGAUGCAGUGUAUCCGCGGCUAGACGGARAGACCCCGUGAACCUUUACUGUAGCUUUGCACUGGACUUUGAGCCUGCYUGUGUAGGAUAGGUGGGAGGCUUUGAAGCGUGGACGCCAGUUCGCGUGGAGCCAUCCUUGAAAUACCACCCUGGCAUGCUUGAGGUUCUAACUCUGGUCCGUGAUCCGGAUCGAGGACAGUGUAUGGUGGGCAGUUUGACUGGGGCGGUCUCCUCCUAAAGAGUAACGGAGGAGUACGAAGGUGCGCUCAGACCGGUCGGAAAUCGGUCGCAGAGUAUAAAGGCAAAAGCGCGCUUGACUGCGAGACAGACACGUCGAGCAGGUACGAAAGUAGGUCUUAGUGAUCCGGUGGUUCUGUAUGGAAGGGCCAUCGCUCAACGGAUAAAAGGUACUCCGGGGAUAACAGGCUGAUACCGCCCAAGAGUUCAUAUCGACGGCGGUGUUUGGCACCUCGAUGUCGGCUCAUCACAUCCUGGGGCUGAAGCCGGUCCCAAGGGUAUGGCUGUUCGCCAUUUAAAGUGGUACGCGAGCUGGGUUUAGAACGUCGUGAGACAGUUCGGUCCCUAUCUGCCGUGGACGUUUGAGAUUUGAGAGGGGCUGCUCCUAGUACGAGAGGACCGGAGUGGACGAACCUCUGGUGUUCCGGUUGUCACGCCAGUGGCAUUGCCGGGUAGCUAUGUUCGGAAAAGAUAACCGCUGAAAGCAUCUAAGCGGGAAACUUGCCUCAAGAUGAGAUCUCACUGGGAACUUGAUUCCCCUGAAGGGCCGUCGAAGACUACGACGUUGAUAGGCUGGGUGUGUAAGCGUUGUGAGGCGUUGAGCUAACCAGUACUAAUUGCCCGUGAGGCUUGACCAUAUAACACCCAAACA